GAUCACUUUGUCGAAAAAAAUGACACUUCGCGUGUAUUUUUUCCACCAACAUUUUUAAAGGUGAAAACCAGUCACGUAGAGUGGAAUAAGUCUAAAGUUUGAAUUUUUUAAUGCUUUUUUAUUAUUAUUGUAAAUCUAUGAAGUGCUUCGCAAGAAAAAGCCGAACAAGCGACAAUUUGGCUGACUUGUUGAUUUUGUCAACAAUCCCGAACUAGCUAGAGGAAGCUAGUAUAUAAUUUCGACGGAAUUGAUACCUUCCCUUUGGUGAACUAUUACGGAUUCAUUAAACAACUUGGGUCCUCGCACCCGUGCCGUUGCAACCUGGCAAUAGUUCUGUCAUGUAUUAUCGGUCGAUAAAUUGACAAGCGUAAGCGUUUACUGUCCGCGGUUUAAGAAACGCGCUCGACGUGAACAUGGCUGUUGGCCUGCCGGGUGAGUUCCAUCGAGUCCAUAAUGCAGCCGGAAGUACAGCGACAUGUGCCUAGAUAUGUUGAGAGCAGCUGUUCAACAACGGUAUCCACAUAACAAACUGCGGUAAAUUGCGUGUGGAUCACCAAGAUUUGCGGCAGGUUCCGGGAAUCGAAAGCAGAUGUUUUUGGACGUGCGGAAUUCAUACGCACCCUUAUUCUUGUUUACGACGAAUGCGAGAUUCGUUCGAAAGUGGUUUGUAUUCCCGUUUACGACAGCAAAAUCAAAUGCGCUUACUAUUCGUUCGAAUCGCUUUCGAACGAAUCUCGCAUUCGUCGUAAACAAGAAUAAGGGUGACGUUUCGAUGCGCGGAGUCAGACCGGUCCGACUCAAUCUGUCAAUAGCCUUUCUACUGCUCAUGUACUGUAAACGGCAAAAGCAAAUGGAAUUGUUUUCAACCAAAAAAAUGUAAAAAUGUGGGACCGGUCGAUGAACUCAAUGAGCUUUGCAAUGUUUCUUAGUUCGGUAGGAAAACCCAUUAAUUCGAUGCGCAGAAACAAGGACAAGUUGGGACUUUAUUCGAGGUGAUGCAGAUAUUGGUUAGUUUUGUGCAAACAUUCUUAACCAAUGCCAUACAAUAGGGGAACUAGGGGUUAUUAAGAUCGUGGGGAUAAUUCAGAGCCCCUCGAUUUCUCAAAAGAUAGUUCAGAUUGUUCUACUCGUUCUGCUAGAAACUAUCUACAUUAGUCAGACUCGGCAUGGCAUAAAUCGAUCUUUAGAUGUAUUUGAAAAAGCGAAAAUAAAGGACUGCGAAUUGAAGAA